GACGAACGCUGGCGGCGUGCUUAACACAUGCAAGUCGAACGGACAGGCCCUGCUCUUGUGGGGUGCUCGAUUGGCGCACGGGUGAGUAACACGCGUGUAACCUCCCCCUGUCUUUGUGGUAACUUCUCGAAACUCGGGCUAAUACCGCAUAGGAUCUCCUGCUCCAUGGUGGUGGUUGGAAAAUUUCGGCGGUUGGGGAUGGACUCGCUGCUUAUGAGCUUGUUUGUGUGGUAGUGGCGUACCAAGGUUUUGACGGGUAGCCGGCCUGGGAGGGUGACCGGCGACAAUGGGACUAAGGUAGGGACCAGAAGGCAACGGGCGGCAGCAGUGGGAAACAUUGCGGAACAGGGGGAAGUCAGAUGCAGAGACGCCGCGUGCGGGAUGACGGGUUACGGGUUGUAAACAGAUUUCGCCUGAGACGAAGCGUGAGUGACGGUAAUGGGUAAAGAAGCACCGGCUAACUACGUG
rnacentral:rRNA from 1 species